CGAGUUACCCUACAUCGCUAAGCACACUGUUGGGACGUGGGAGCUUGGAAACGCGUCAGAUAUAGCGAAGUAGUAAAGCAAGGGGUGAAUCUGUAUUGUGGUUUUGUAUCAAAUAACUCGGAUGUAAACUGGAUCACUAUCGUACCAAUCGUUUAUAUUCCUUUCGUGUUGGAUGUCUUAACUUUGCCGUUAGUUUUCGCGUCUACUACUUUAAAUGGACUAAGUAAUUCGAGAGGGGAAUAGCAUCGUGAGAGGCGUGAAGAGGAUAGUUCUAAGUUCGAAAAGUGUUUUUUUUUUUAGUGAUAGAAAUGGCGUCCUUAAUUUCACAAGAUAUAUGGAAAACGUGGGAAACACAUGGCCACACUGAAUUUAUGAAACUGCUUGCAGGCUGGAUUGGUUCAGACAGUAGUAGUCUUCCUUCCAUUGAUAACAAAGAGCUGUUUCGUGCCAUAUACGAGUUUUUUUGGCAAGCCAUCAGAGGUGGAAUAAAGAAGGAUUUAGUUUUAUCAGCCAUUGGAGACAUUUUGGGUUUGCAUGGUGAUCUAGCAUCAGUGACACUAGAUGUUCUGAAUGUCAUUGAUCAUGAAACAUUGGUAACUGAGAAUAAUGAUGAAAGACAGAGAUUGUGCAGCAUGUUGAAGGAGCUGGAAAAUUGGCUUAGUGAUGCACUGAUUAAAGAGCGGUUGGAAAUUGAUACCUUACAAGACUGCAGCUUACUAAAAACAAAAAAGAUAUUUUACACUCGUUUCAUCAAAGUGAAGACAAAGUUAUUUUACAAGCAGCAAAAGUUCAACCUUUUACGAGAAGAGAGUGAGGGUUAUGCCAAGCUUAUAACUGAACUCAAUCAAGAAAUAGAUGAUACAAUAACUCCUCUAUACAUUUUACAAGUUAUACAGUCUUUAAUUGGCUGCUUCAACUUAGAUCCCAAUCGUGUAUUGGAUGUUAUUCUUGAAUCGUUUGAAUGCCGGCCACAACUUCAUAGUCGUCUUUUUGUUCCGCUAAUUCGAUCGUACAUGUCCGAUUCCCUGACUUUAUGCGAAGUUUUAGGAUUCAAAUUUACGUCGUACGACCCGUCUUCUACGCCACGCUCUCUGUUCGUCAUUACCGCGCUUUUACUGCAGCACGGUGUUAUUCGCCUAGAUGAUAUUUAUCGUUGGCUUACACCCAAAGACAGCGAAAUCGAGGAAUCUGCUGCCAAAGAAUUAGCAGACGCUAAAGAAUACGCUCGCCGAAUGAACAUCAUCAGUGUACCGAAAGAAGAUGACAAAAUUGAAGAAUUAAUUGAAGAAAGGGCACCGUACAACCAGAAGUUUGGAUUAUGCGAAGCUCUUCUUUCUAUUGGAGCCUGGGAACAAGCUUCAACGCUUCUUAAGCGUCACCCAGAAUUCUUCGUUACAUCAUAUCGCCCAAUCUCAAACAGUGUCUGCAAGCUCGUCGAUUACGUCAUUGAGCCAGUUUAUCGUAAACGAUGUUGCAUUUCUCCGAAGCUUCCAGGAAAACCCGUUUUGGCGGUCGGUGUAUGGAAUUUUCCCAAGACAGCCAAGGAAAUGAGUGAAUUGAGAGAAACAGCGUUUCCAAUGCUUCUCUCUUUGGGACCGCAUUUAUAUAAUGAUCCCGUCCUCCUCCACAAAUUAAUUCGCUUGUGCAAUACUGCAUUGGACGAUUGCGGGUUGAACAAUUCGAAGAAAGUUCCAACCGAAAUGGAUUCACUAUACUUUGACGUCCUAACUCUUUUUGAUGUUGUCGUGUUGCCAUCUCUCGCCCUUAUGGAAUCCAAUUGUUGUGUAGCAGAAGAAGUCUGGAAUGUUUUGAAGAAACUACCCUACGAGCACCGAUAUCGACUAUAUGGACUAUGGAAAAACGACACAUUCCAGAGUCACUCGCUGCUCAUCCGUCGUAAGGUAGAUUGUGUCAAGCGCAUUAAGUACAUCAUGAAGCGUGUGAGCAAGGAUAACGUCAAGCCGACUGGCCGAGUACUUGGGAAACUGAGUCAUAGCUGUCCUGGCUUUCUUUUUGACUACAUCCUCUCCCAAAUUCAAAUUUACGACAACCUGAUCGGACCUGUUGUGGAUUCACUCAAGUACCUGACAAAUCUUUCGUACGACGUUCUGGGUUAUUGUGUUUUGGAAGCUCUUUCGAAUCCGGAUAAAGAACGCACUAAUCAUGAUGGAACCACCAUUUCAAUGUGGUUGACUGCGCUAUCAGCGUUCUGUGGUGCAAUUUACAAAAAGUACAACAUGGACCUCACUGGACUACUUCAAUAUGUUGCUAAUCAGCUGAAGGCACAGAAGAGCUUGGAUCUUCUCAUUCUUCAGGAAAUGGUGCAUAAAAUGGGAGGAAUUGAAGCGUCUGAGGAAAUGACCAAAGAACAUAUGGAAGCAAUGCAAGGUGGUGAGCUGUUAAGAGCAGAAGCAGCUCAUUUUGGUCAAGUACGAGUUACAAAGAAGGCCGCUCAGCGUUUAAAGGAAACUUUGCUAGAACAUAAUCUGGCAAUACCACUUUGUCUUCUCAUCGCCCAACAGCGCAACUGUGUCGUUUACCGAGAAACACAGAAUAACCAUCUAAAGCUUGUUGGUAAACUUUACGACCAAUGCCAAGAUACUUUAGUUCAGCUUGGGACAUUCUUGGCUCUGAACAUGAGUGUCGACGACUAUGUUAGACGACUGCCGCAGUUAGGCUCUUUAUUAUCUGAUUAUCACAUUCAUGCUGAUGUCGCAUUUUUUUUGGCACGCCCGAUGUUUGCCCAUUCAAUCAAUUCCAAAUACGAUGAGUUGCGGCGGGCUGAAAAGAAUUCUAAAAAUCUUCUUCCAGCACAAAAGACGCAAAAGUACUUAGAGGCUGUGCGACUGGUCAUGACUCCUAUUUGCGAAUCGGUCCGGCCCUUGUGCGCUCCUAGAGUGUGGGAAGAUCUCUCUCCUCAGUUCUUUGCCACAUUUUGGUCGUUGACCGUCUAUGACUUGUCGGUGCCCAGCACUGCGUACGAACGUGAAGUGCAACGACUAAAAUUGGCGAUUCAACAGACAAAUGAAAAUCGGGACUUACCUGCCAGUAAACGAAAGAAAGAGUUGGAUCGUUGUACGGCACUUAUAGAUAAGCUUCAGGAAGAAGAAAAGAAGCAAAAAGAUCACAAUGAACGUAUAAUGGCUAGAUUGACACAAGAAAAAGAUGGUUGGUUCCUUUGUCGAGCAGCGAAAUUAGCAAAAACAGAAACAAUCACACAGUUCUUACAACUGUGUCUGUUUCCUCGCUGUGUUUUUACCGCUAUCGAUGCCUUAUUUUGCGCCCGCUUUGUACAGCUAAUGCACAAUUUGAAAACGCCCAACUUUUCAACUUUAAUUUGCUACGAUCGCAUAUUUUGUGAUAUCACAUAUACUGUGACGUCAUGCACUGAGAACGAAGCAAAUCGUUAUGGUCGCUUUUUGUGCGCCAUGCUUGAGACUGUAAUGCACUGGCAUUCAAGCAAGAAGAUAUUCGACGAAGAUUGUGCCAACUAUCCAGGCUUUGUCACUAAAUUUCGGGUCGGCAACCAGCCUUCAGAAACGAAUGAUCAUGUUGACUUUGAAAAUUAUCGGCAUGUCGUCCACAAGUGGCACCACAAAAUUGCCAAAGCACUAGUUGUGUGCCUGGAGUCAAAGGACUAUGUACAGAUUCGAAAUGCGCUGAUUGUCUUGAUACGUAUCUUGCCAUUCUUCCCCGUCAUAACACCACUUGGAUCGGUAAUUGAUCGGCAUGUUGAAUCCGUGCGCAAUGAGCAAAAGGACAAACGGCAAGACUUGUCAGCAAUGGCGAUUUCGUACAGUGGGCAGUUAAAGAAUAAAAAAGCAUCCAUGAUUCCAGAAUACGACUUCCAUCUUGUGAACAGGAAACCUGUUACAAAGGCGGCUCCACAAAAUGCCCAUCCACCUGCUGGAACCACAAAUACUGCUACGCAACCCGAAAAUGGAGUUUCAAAACACGAAGGAGUAAAUGGAGUGGAUAAAACAUCGACGAACGCACAGGACACUCCUUCCUCUACGCAAAGCGAAUCCCAAUCGAGUACCCCAGUGACCGCCGGUAUGAACAAGGAGAUCAAAAAGGAAACUCGAGAGACGAAUAAAGUGAAAGAAAAAGAAAAGGACAGGCACAAAGACGUGGUUGAAAAGAGGGAGGAGACCAGCGAUCGAACCAGAGAGAAAAGGACCAAAGAAAGGAAAGAAGACAAAGAAGAAAGGCCACAUUCGGGCAAGGCUGAUCGUGAGGAGGAAUGGACGGAACGUGACAGAGAAAAUUACAACGGAUCUAGCGUUGAAGCUACCGAUCCCGACCGAGUAGAUUCCAAACGCCGGAAGACGGAUGCUAAUUUAACCACCAAGGUUAGUAUCAAGGCGGCCGACCUUGACCUUUGACUUCAGUCUGCGUCUUCGCUCUUCUCAAGCUGUCACUCAACGAAAACAAAAAAAAAUCAUAUAUAUAAAAAAAAAAAUUUAUAAGCUGCGCCCGCACACCGUGUCUGCGACUUCUCCCCUGGUCGUGCGAGUGAGGCCCAUUCGCUCACAGUAAACCAAUCCGUCCACGUAGCGCCAAAUGCGGGACAAGAUCAAACCCAGUGUAGGCCACUCAGUCACAUUGUCAACACGGAAGACAUUCAAUCGUAGAAGCUGUCUCGGAAUCCCUUAAUUUAAAAAAAUCAUAUUUGCCUGUUAAUAUCCCCGGAAUGUCGGUGAAUCGUAAUGCGCCCCUCCAUCCAUGGAAUAACUCACGUGCUUGUAAGACCGGAAGCCUUGUUUUUUGCAAGGAGCACACUUAAGCCCGGGUUGCUGUGCAGUCACGUCCGUUACAAUUUCGGCAUGGCGACGGAGUUGGUCAGAUCUAGCAGUUGCAUCUACUGUUGCAUACGGAUCAACAGCAGCUUCUUCGGCAGACAUGACACUAACCGAGAACUUCCCAUCGCCAUCGAGGCAGAGCCAAGCAAAAAAAUGUUUUUGUUUUGGAUGAAAAAAACUGGUCGACCGAUCACCCGACCUGCGCGGAUAUUUGGACUGUGAUGUCGAAUGCCCUCAGUGUCUUCGCGUGGCUGCGCACAUCCCCUCACAUGCUCGGUGCUGGGGUAAGUUACGACCCAAAUGAUAUUGGUAGGAGAUCGUUGAUGGGGACAGCGACAGAGACGAAAAUGGAGCUGCUGCGAAAAGGGGAAAGUGUCCCGGAUUUGUUGUACAUUCUCGGCGUAUCAGGCGUAAGGCAAAAAUGUCUUCCUCUCCAAUGUGUGAAUAUGAAUUUCACCUCGCAUGCAUUUUACCGUUCAUGAAACCCCCUUGUUUCCCAAAGAUGCGUCCAAUUUGGUAAAUUUAACACCUCGAGUUGUCGUUGCAGAGUCGUCCUUCUACUCCUGAACGUGAACGUGAGCGCCGCCUGGAAAAGGCUGAGCGGAAGGAACGACGAAACAUUCAAGAAACCGAAGAAGAACGACGCGAAAGGAAGGGCGAGCGCAAAAGGGAUCGACUGCUGGAGGAUGCUUUAAUGGAUGUGAAGCGUCGCAAAGAGGAUGAACGAGAAAAAGCGAGAUCUCCACGCCACGGAAACGGAAGUCCCUCGGAUGGAAACGGGGACAGAAGAGUACACAACAGGGAAUCGCCUCUUUCACGCGAGGCUUCGGAUCGGUCAUUUGAACGCUCAGAGAGACCGGAACGAGCCCGUCGCUCCACGGAUAGUAAACGAAGAUGAGAAACGAGAAGUUAAAAACUGAAGCGUCUGCUCAUAUUUGUCAUUUAAAUUCUGUUUUUAGGGAAUUGAAUUUGUCAUGUUAGAUUCUUUCCUUAUUGAUUUCCUUGAGGCCUAGACAAUAAAUUCAUUUCAUCGUA